AGCCUUCCACUUUAAAAAGGCUGUUUAAUUUGUGACAUAUUUCUGGGGAAGGCAGUGAGAAGUAGUUAGGAACAAAAACUACACCCAUUUAAUAGGUGGCAGUGGGCAGAACUGAGAAAGCAGGAGCAGACGAUCCGGAUAACAUUUGAAAGUGAUCGACUCAGAACUGCCGUCAGGACAUGCUUCCAGGCACCUGUGCCUCCAGGGCCAUCCUUCCUGCCUCCAGCUCCAAGUCAUGGGGAGUCACUGCCCUCACACCUUCAAACUCAUCUGAUCGUUUCUGCCCAUUAUUCCCCAGGCUUUGGCCCAGUGCCUCCUACUGGGAAACCUGUUCUGAGGUGGAAAAACCUGUGAGACUGGGAAGGUCCCCCCUUGAAUCUUUUAACUCAGAGGGUCCCUGACAGUGAGAUGCUUUUAAAGCCACAAUCCAGCUACUACUGGGAAAAGAGAAGAAAGGCUAAUGUGAAACUGGAGGGGUUUUUAAGUGUGGAGCCCGUGUUUAUGCUUGCUAGUGUCGACCCCUAGAUAUAGUGAGAGGGCCUGGGAAUAGUCAGAGCCCCUGUUGUUGAUGUAAAGGGAUUUCUUCUUUAAAAGUGAAGCUAAGUGGAGGGAAAGGGUGUUCUGUAGGCACGGACCACAGCUUAGCCUCCAAUAAUCACUUU